AGCCUGUAACCAGCUAGCUUUCUAGUUGUAGAAGUAGCUUCGUAAUGGUGAAAUGCGCCAUGCGAACCUUUCAACCACCAUUCCAGUAUGUUCCCAGUCACCUGAAAUUACAAAUAGAAUCUACAUUAUCAUGAAGAAAAUUAUACGUAUGCAUCGGAGGCAGAAAAUUUAUUCAAGCUCUGAAGUCCCAAACAACUGAAAAUGCUCCAAAACACCAUCACGUGACCCAGUAGCAGACACUACAUCUGCCAAUGAGCAAUGGACAGAACUGAGAAUACCAUAUCAUGAACCGUAGUGAACACUGCUGGCAACAUCCUGUUUUAGGAUCGAUUUCUCUACAUACAAGCCCCACCAGUGCAGUUGGCACACAACAGCAUCCCUCCUGAUCAAGUGAAAAGGAAUCCUAUGACACCGCUUGAUCUUUGUCUGACAUGGAAAUCUGCAAAUCAAAUAAGGUGGAAGAAUAACAUCUGGUUAAAAAAUUUAUGUGGAAAAAUAUCUGCUUUAAAGUGAUGUCAUGAACUGGACGCUGCACUCUUGAUUCCAACACUAAUAUUGUCAAGUUCAUAUUCAGCAAGUUGAAGAUAACUGACACCAUCUUUAAGUAUAAGUUUCACAAAUAUGGUAUUCAGAAGUUUUUUGUUUUCACUACUGAUGUAUAUAUAGUAUAAAAAAAUGGAUUUCUGUAAUAGAAUAAAGUAUUGGAAUACA